CCCUUAGAUGUUCUGGGCCGCACGCGCGCUACACUGAAGGAAUCAGCGUGGCUUUCUCCCUGACCCGAAAGGGUUGGGAAACCCGUUGAAUCUCCUUCGUGAUAGGGAUUGGGGCUUGAAAUUGUUCCCCAUGAACGAGGAAUUCCCAGUAAGCGCGAGUCAUAAGCUCGCGUUGAUUACGUCCCUGCCCUUUGUACACACCGCCCGUCGCUACUACCGAUUGAACGGUUUAGUGAGGGCCUCGGAUUGGUCUCGGCCCGCUCUUUACCGGGCGGCGCCGUUGGUCGAGAAGACGCUCGAACUUGAUCGUUUAGAGGAAGGAGAAGUCGUAACA
rnacentral:rRNA from 1 species